rfam:Merops nubicus contig42163, whole genome shotgun sequence.
CCUUCGAUAGCUCAGCUGGUAGAGCGGAGGACUGUAGGCUGCCUGUAGAGAGUGAUCCUUAGGUCGCUGGUUCAAUUCCGGCUCGAAGGA